rnacentral:rRNA from 1 species
AUUGAACGCUGGCGGCAGGCCUAACACAUGCAAGUCGAACGAGUGGCGGACGGGUGAGUAAUGUCUGGGAAACUGCCCGAUGGAGGGGGAUAACUACUGGAAACGGUAGCUAAUACCGCAUACCAUCGGAUGUGCACAGAUGGGAUUAGCUAGUAGGUGGGGUAACGGCUCACCUAGGCGACGACCCCUAGCUGGUCUGAGAGGAUGACCGUGCACACUGGAGCUGAGAGACGGUCCAGACUCCUACGGGAGGGAUGAGUGGGGAAUCUUGCACAAUGGACGCAAGCCGGAUGCAGACAUGCCGCGUGUAUGAAGAGGGCCUUCGGGUUUUAAAGUACUUUCAGCGAGGAGGCGUUACUCGCAGAAGAAGCACCGGCUAACUCCGUGCCAGCAGCCGCGGUAAUAC